rnacentral:rRNA from 1 species
CUACGGGUUGCUGCAGUGGGGAAUAUUGCACAAUGGGGGAAACCCUGAUGCAGCAACGCCGCGUGGAGGAUGACACAUUUCGGUGCGUAAACUCCUUUUAUAGGUCAAGAUAAUGACGGUAGCCUAUGAAUAAGCGCCGGCUAACUCCGUGCCAGCAGCCGCGGUAAUACGGAGGGCGCAAGCGUUACUCGGAAUCACUGGGCGUAAAGAGCAUGUAGGCGGGUUAAUAAGUCAGAAGUGAAAUCCAAUAGCUCAACUAUUGAACUGCUUUUGAAACUGUUAACCUAGAGUGUGGGAGAGGUAGAUGGAAUUUCUGGUGUAGGGGUAAAAUCCGUAGAGAUCAGAAGGAAUACCGAUUGCGAAGGCGAUCUACUGGAACAUUACUGACGCUAAGGCGUGAAAGCGUGGAGAGCAAACAGGAUUAGAUACCCUUGUAGUC